GCGGGACAGGGACUGUGUCCAACAUGAUUAUCUCGUAUCUACCACGAUGCUUAGGACAGCGGCCGGCACGUACACAGCUGACUCUGUGGGGAAUUUUUCUCUGAUGGCCAUUUGGCAAUGACCCAGAGAGGGGAUUCAGUGCCCUGACAAACUGCUGCAGUUACUCAGGAGGAAUUGAGUCAUCCAGAAGCAGGUCUUGUUUUCACAUUGUUUUCACUUUUUGGAACAUCUUGAUUUACUCAUCGUUGACCUCUUGCAGAAGAGUUGUAGAGGAUAAAAUGCAAAAGGUGGUUCUACAGAAUCGGAAACAACCUUUCUAAUUUGCAACUAACUGGCCCCUGGAUCCACCGAGAGGGUCAGGAGACAGGUUCGACCUUGCCUGGAAAGCAAUUAGCGGAACAGAAUAAGGAGGAGGCUCAGGCUAACGUUUCCAGCGUUCCGCUGGCCUGAGGGGACCACGUGCUCUGAUUUCAGUGGGUCAGUUCCAAAGUGUUGGAAUCUGUUCGGUCCCCAUGUUUGGUUCUUUAGGCAGUUGUGCCCAGAAAACUCUGAAAAAUAAUCACCUCUUUUACCAAACAUGUAGCGUAACAUAAUGCCUUUAAGUGCAAUUUUGUGAUAAUUUGCCUCCAUUUCUCCAAACCUAGAGUUCUUCUCCAGGGUCACCCUUGACGCCACCACUUAAUCUCUUUGAAAAGCUUAGUAAAACAGUCCGUAAAACGUUCAAUCAGUACACUGUAAACCAGCAGACCAGCCAACACCUUAACUCUUUCACACAUUUAGGUGCUCCUUAGUAUUAGUAGUAAAAGUGGUGUUGAUUGAAUGCCAAAUGAAUGCAAUGCCCUGAAAUAAGCACUUGGGAUGUUCAACAGAAGCACUAUACAAGUGUCGAGGAUGGUUAUAAAUAAGUUCAUAAGUGCAAGGGGCAGCUGAAAAUGUGAUAAGAUAGGAAAAACUUGUCAAAAGAGGUAGCACUUCUGUCAUCGCAAAAAUAAUAGUAGUAUUUAAUGAGCACCCAUUUCAUGUGAUGCACCGUACUAGGUACUCAGAAAGUAUGGAAUAAAGAAGCGAUACCUGAAGCGGAGGAAGAGGGGCAACCAGUCAAAAGUUUUGAGGAGAGGGGAACAGUGUGCUGAACGAAAGAAAAAUGUCUUUUUAAUAAAAUGUACUAUCAAUCACAGGUUCUUUCAUUGCAGUCUGUUGAUUCUUAGUACAGUGCUCUGCACACAGUAAGCGUUCAGUAAAUACAAUUGAAUGAAAUACGAUUGAAUGAUUCAAUGCCUCUCCUUGUUCCUAAUCUCUCCUCACAGAGGUUUUAACAUCACCUCCCAAAUCCUGCUUCACUUACCAUCUCUUUAAUUCCCCCUUUCUCUUCAUUGCAUUAUUAAAAGUCAAAUAGAACCCAGCCUAGUAUUAGUGUCGGAGGGGUCCAUUAGCAGUUCCUCAGCAUCACAUGGAAGGGAAAAGAAAACACCUCUCAUUUAAGAUUUGGCUUUUACAAGAGGUCAAGAUAUUAUAUGUUAAUGGUGGCCCAUCUUGAUGACUUCAAAUAAGAUUGCAAAAGAGGAUGUUUUAUCUAAACAAAUAAGAAAAUCAUAUCAAAUGGACUUUUUGUUUAGACUGCAAAGCCGUAAUAAUAAUGAUCAUAUUUGUUAAAUGCAUAUUAAGUGCCAGGCACUGUUCGACAU